rnacentral:rRNA from 1 species
UACGGAGGACGCGAGCGUUAUCCGGAUUUAUUGGGUUUAAAGGGUGCGCAGGCGGCACGGCAAGCCGGCGGUCAAAUCGCGGGGCUCAACCCCGCCCAGCCGUCGGAACUGCCGGGCUAGAGUGGGCGAGAAGUGCGCGGAAUGCGUGGUGUAGCGGUGAAAUGCAUAGAUAUCACACAGAACUCCGAUUGCGAAGGCAGCGCACCGGCGCCCUACUGACGCUCAGGCACGAAAGCGUGGGUAUCGAACAGG